rnacentral:rRNA from 1 species
CUCGGGUGAAGGAACUAGGCAAAAUGGUGCCGUAACUUCGGGAGAAGGCACGCUGACACGUAGGUGAAGUGGUUUACCCAUGGAGCUGAAGUCAGUCGAAGAUACCAGCUGGCUGCAACUGUUUAUUAAAAACACAGCACUGUGCAAACACGAAAGUGGACGUAUACGGUGUGACGCCUGCCCGGUGCCGGAAGGUUAAUUGAUGGGGUCAGCGCAAGCGAAGCUCCUGAUCGAAGCCCCGGUAAACGGCGGCCGUAACUAUAACGGUCCUAAGGUAGCGAAAUUCCUUGUCGGGUAAGUUCCGACCUGCACGAAUGGCGUAAUGAUGGCCAGGCUGUCUCCACCCGGGACUCAGUGAAAUUGAACUCGCUGUGAAGAUGCAGUGUACCCGCGGCAAGACGGAAAGACCCCGUGAACCUUUACUAUAGCUUGACACUGAACACUGGUCCUUGAUGUGCAGGAUAGGUGGGAGGCUUUGAAGUGUGGACGCCAGUCUGCAUGGAGCCAUCCUUGAAAUACCACCCUUUAAUGGCUGGUGUUCUAACGUGGGCCCGUGAACCGGGUUGCGGACAGUGUCUGGUGGGUAGUUUGACUGGGGCGGUCUCCUCCUAAAGAGUAACGGAGGAGCACGAAGGUUGGCUAAUCCUGGUCGGACAUCAGGAGGUUAGUGCAAUGGCAUAAGCCAGCUUGACUGCGAGCGUGACGGCGCGAGCAGGUGCGAAAGCAGGUCAUAGUGAUCCGGUGGUUCUGAAUGGAAGGGCCAUCGCUCAACGGAUAAAAGGUACUCCGGGGAUAACAGGCUGAUACCGCCCAAGAGUUCAUAUCGACGGCGGUGUUUGGCACCUCGAUGUCGGCUCAUCACAUCCUGGGGCUGAAGUAGGUCCCAAGGGUAUGGCUGUUCGCCAUUUAAAGUGGUACGCGAGCUGGGUUUAGAACGUCGUGAGACAGUUCGGUCCCUAUCUGCCGUGGGCGCUGGAAGAUUGAGGGGGGCUGCUCCUAGUACGAGAGGACCGGAGUGGACGCAUCACUGGUGUUCGGGUUGUCAUGCCAAUGGCACUGCCCGGUAGCUACAUGCGGAAGAGAUAAGUGCUGAAAGCAUCUAAGCACGAAACUUGCCCCGAGAUGAAUCUUCCCUGAGCCUUUAAGGCUCCUGAAGGAACGUUGAAGACGACGACGUUGAUAGGCCGGGUGUGUAAGCGCAGCGAUGCGUUGAGCUAACCGGUACUAAUGAACCGU